ACAUCACUGCCAUUACCACCAUUACUAUACUAUACAGGGAAUAACAGACAAUGUUUGUUUCAACCCCAUUUCUUAGGUAGGUUGAAAUAACAAACACUAUGAAUUGAAGGAGUCUAGCAGUACUUCUUGGCUACUGAUGUCUCUUGGUCAUUCCUACUGUAAAUCUUUGAGAUGAAUACUUAGCUCUGGAGUCAGUAAAUUUACUCUUUCCUACAUGUUGUCAUUUUGCUUACUGGCUGGGCUAUAAAUCAUACUCAGGUCACGCAUCCCUGGAGUAGUAAAAUACUGCAUAGUGACGAAACUUCAACCCCAGAAACUGUUACAAGAGGAUUCCAUAUCUACAGAGUCCAUGAUGUCUAGCACACCCAGAGUAGCUCCCUGGGGAUUGUCUGCUGCUGAGACUCACAAAUAGAAGAAGGAUAUUCCGAAAAAGUCCAUGAAUAAGAUGUGCUCAUGCUUUGAAGCACACUUUCUGAGUAUCUGCCUGGAAACCCUGUUGCCUGGAGACCAGUCUUGAAGAAAUCCACUGCUGUGGCCUUUUAAAGAUUUAAGACAUCUAAUGAAGAGCUGACAGAAAUAAUCAAUUUCUGUCAAUUUCUACUCAGCAGUUGAAUGCGUGUGGAUGGUGACACUGCAGUGGAGUCAGCGUGCAGAAGAGGAAGGUGGAAGGUGUUUACUAAGAGGUGGUGUAGUGGAUAAAAUUCUGCUUCCAGUCUUCGAGUUUUUCAUCUCCUUUCUGGAAGAAGGAAAAGGGCUCUUUACUGUCCCACAUAAAUUUUAGGCCUGUUCUUUCAAAUUCAACAGAAACGUUCCUGGGGAUUUUGAUUGGAUUUGCACUGAAUUUACAGACGGUUCAGGAAGAACUGCCAUAUUCAAAUAUCGACAUCUUUAUAAUACUUGCAUCCACAAUUUGAUAUGUCUCUUAAUUUUGUUAGGUCUCUCUUUAUCCCUUAUAAUUUUUACAUGGUUAUAAUACUCCCCAAGUGCAUAUAUUAUUACUGGAUUGCCUACUGGAUAUAUUAUAGUUUUAAAUAUUGUAUCUUAGAUGUAUUAUGCACAUAUAUAUUAUGUUUUCUUAUUGAGUGUUGCUGGUAUAUAGGAAUAAACUACUUUUGUACACUAAUCUUAUAUCCUGCAAUUUGGGUGAAUUCCAUUUUUUUAAAUAGUCUGAAGAAUACUGACAAUCAUUUGUAAAUGAGAGCAAUUUACUUUCUUCCAUUCUAAUUUUUAUUACCUUUUAAAAAUUUGUCUUGCUGAUCGCACUAGCCAGGAUUUCCAGUACAAUGCUGACUAGAAGUGGGAGAAGGCACUAGUUUGUCUUAUUUUUGCCUUUAAAGGGAAGGGUUAUACCAACAUACCAUUGAUUACAGUGCCUGAGAUAGGGCAGUGGUUUUUGAAAAAUAUAUUUAUUAGGUUAAACGUUUUUCUUCUAUAUCCGUAGUUUGCUAAGCGUUUUAACUCUGAGUGAUGAUUUUAAUUGCUUUUCCUUUUAAAACUGAUCUUAGAAUUACUCUUCUUUAAGAAACCUUCCCAGCACGCUAAAAUUGGAAUAAACGCUCCUCGGCUUUGAUCCCACUGGAUUUUGUGCUUCCUGCAGCAAGUUCAGUUAUCUGCUGAUGUAUCUAUAGUCCUCAGUAGUUUCUAAGCAAGUCAAGGGCAGGAACCUCAUGUUUCAUUCAUGGCUAUGUCCUCCAGAACCUGAUGUAGAUCACUGUACAUAGCUAUAAAAUAAAUUGUUGAAAAUAUGUACAGGAAACUUUAUUUUUCCUUCCUAACACCCAAUCCUGUUUCUGACAAUUAGGCUUAAUUUACAAAGACAAUAAUAAUAGCAUAGAAAAAUUUUAGCUGUCUACACAUUUGUAUUUGUUUUUAAUACAACAACUCAUAGAAUGCAAAUAUACAUCUGAAAAAUCACUGACUUCUUUCUUCCAGCAAACAUAAGUUGUUGCUACAUUUCAAAUCAAGUUCCUGUUUAGUUUCACAUCAUAUUAGUUACUUUGUGUUGCUACUGAAACAAAAAUAAGACUCCCACAUACUUUGAUUUGUUCAGUAUGUACUUUCUAAAGGUUUUUUCAUAUCUCAGUACUAACAUUAUUUUAAUUAAUUCAUAUUAUUUCUUUUAACCAAUGCCAAAGGCCUUUUUAAAUGCAUUAUGUUCAUCAGUGUUUGAAUACUCUCACCUGUUUAAUAGAGAACACUAAGCUACUUAAUGAUCAUAGGACCUCAAAUGCCAUUUGAAAAUAUGAAACCUUUAUCUUUUAACUGAGUUUUGCUUUCAUGCAUAGCAUGGCUCAGAAAUCACAGUUGUGAUAUUUAUCAGCUGUCUUUGCAAAACUGUGGGUAAUACAUCUUUCACAUUUCAUUGAGAAGAAAAGAAAUUUAAUCUCACCAGGGUCUCCAUUAUUAGUUCUCCCUCUUGAUUUUUUUUUCCCGUGGGGAUUUUACGUUGGCCAGAUGGGACUCUGAAGAAUCCACAGACCAAUCAGUAUUUUACAGUGGCAAAGUAGAAAAGCAAAAUCUAUUUUUGAGUUAGGAAAUUAAAUUAAAUUAAAUGUCAUCUAGCUCACUAUAUCCAAACUAGUCAUUGUUUUGUUCGUAUUCAAUAUUGUACAAUUAUUCUCUUACAAAAGAGACUACCUUCAUUUUCCUGAACUUUACUUCAGUUCUGUGUUCAUCUUGUUCCACUAGAUAACAGUAAUUAGCCACUCAAUUGCACCCUCGAUUCCCCUGAAUUCUACCAAUACUAAAUAGUAUUCUAUAAACCCCAUUUUUAUGCUGGAUCUACUUUCUGGGGAAUGCCAAUUAAAUUUCAUUAACAGCAAAAAAUUAAACAUCCCUUUCCAUAUUCAUCACAGAAUAUCUUCCAUGAAGCAGAGUUACUGAAUGAAAUGUUUGAGAAUCAAUCUGCUAGGAAAUUGCUUAUUUCUCAAAUUGACCCAAUUCUCCUUUUUAAAUAUUCAGAGGCUUCUAUCUUCAGGUAGUUGCCCUCAUGGUCAGAAAUCUCUUAAAUGGAGAAAUAAUUAUAAGGUAACAUAGUUCGUCAUAAAUGGUUUCAAAUAGUGUAACAUCUCAAAGUGUGCAUUUCACAUAUUUCACCUAUGGGGUAAAUAAAAAGAAGUUGCAUUCGGAGCCUCCUCAUCUUUGUCUAUUGUCAUUUUUUUUUUUUUUGAGACGACGUUUCACUCUUGUUACCCAGGCUGGAGUGCAAUGGCGUGAUCUCGGCUCACCGCAACCUCCGCCUCCUGGGUUCAGGCAAUUCUCCUGCCUCAGCCUCCUGAGUAGCUGGGAUUACAGGCAUGCGCCACCAUGCCCAGCUAAUUUUUUGUCUUUUUAGUAGAGACGGGGUUUCACCAUGUUGACCAGGAUGGUCUCGGUCUCUUGAACUCGUGAUCCACCCGCCUCGGCCUCCCAAAGUGCUGGGAUUACAGGCUUGAGCCACCGCGCCCAGCCUAUCUAUUGUCUUGAUGAUGUCUAAGAAUGUGCCCGUUCUAUAUAAAACCAGAUAUCUGAUUUCCAGAAAACUACUGAAUUAUUUUGUUUUAGUUCUGCUAGGCAGGACCAAUAAAAGGAUGUCCUUAAAGAAUCUAUCUUUUGCCUAACCUACUUAUUCCUACAUUCUAUUCAAAGUUUACCCCUGCCCCAUCUAGCCACACUGAAGAAUAGGGACUUUCUCAAUUGGAUCAUUUCCUUUCUUAUAUCUUUGACUUUGUAUGCAAUAGUCUGUCUAAAAGGCAUGUUACUUUUCUUCACUAUUUACUUAAAUAUCCACUUUUCCUUCAAAACUCUUAUCAGAUUCCAUGUUUAUGAUGUGUUCCUUAAAUAUCUCCUCCUAAACACACACACACACUCACUCUCUCUCUCUCUCUCUCUCUCUCUCUCUCUCACACACACACACACACACACACACACACACACACACGGACAGACUUAGCUUUC